UACGUAGGGUGCAAGCGUUGUCCGGAAUUAUUGGGCGUAAAGAGCUUGUAGGCGGUUUGUCGCGUCUGCUGUGAAAUUUCGGGGCUCAACCCCGAACUUGCAGUGGGUACGGGCAGACUAGAGUGUGGUAGGGGAGACUGGAAUUCCUGGUGUAGCGGUGAAAUGCGCAGAUAUCAGGAAGAACACCCGUGGCGAAGGCGGUUCUCUGGGACGGUACUGACGCUGAGACGCGAAAGCGUGGGGAGCAAACAGG
rnacentral:rRNA from 1 species